AUGUCUUCCUGGAGAUUGCUCUUUGUGGAGUUUUUGUGAGCCUGCAACAUUGAGGUAAUGUUCUGGAUGUAGCUUGCUUCAGGCAUAUGUAUUGGCUGUUUGGCAUCCAUUGCUAAGGAAGAACAAGUUGGUAUUGAUGCUGAAAGGCAAUGUCCUACUCUCACCUUGCCAUGGGCAAAUUAUUCCUCAUCCUCUGCAUACCAGUUUCUUAUGCCAUACAAAGAACAAGAGCGAGGAAAUGGCUUGGUUUAAAAAACUAACCCAGAAAAGAAACAAAACAAAAACAACUAAUAAUCUUAUCCUGGAGCACGUUAUCCAUCUGAUGGAGUGGAAGCACAGAACAGCAUCAGCCACAGGCUCAGUGGCAGUGCCGGCAUCUGCUUAUCCAAAGUGAGUGUACGUCACUUGCCCUAGAGGCAGCAGAAUGCACAUCUCCCUUUCUAUUUCCUUUCCUUGGAGUCACAUCUAAAUUUUCUAAAUGAGAACUGCGUAAUUCAAAGCACGUUACUUUCUGACUCUGCAAUCCAGAAAAUGAUCAAGAAAUGUGAACUGUGUUGAGUCACUGUAGUGAUCCACUGCUUGAAACCCAACAGCACUAUUACUACUAAUAGCACACAUUAACUGUUUCAGAACUAAUCUGCAAAUUUCUAUCAAUUCUGUGUGCUAGUCAGAUAAAUGAAUAUAUAUGCACGUACAAUGUUCUUGAUAACUUCUUUUGAUAUUUUUCUUGAUUAAAAAGCAUAAUAACACAAUACAUAGCCUGAGAACUACAGAAAAUUAGAUAAUUCUACCAGCAAAUUUUGAGUUAGGGUGAAGAUGAAGCAAUAGGGAAAUUGGAAGAUAUAGAUCCCUGUUAUUCUGUAAAUUUCUCUGUAGAAAAGAAAUAAUAAUUUCCUUGAAAACUAUGAUAUUCCUCUCCAUUUAAGUUCUCUCUCACCCUAUAACAAUUUCUUAAUACUACAUCUGUUAUUUACCAGUGCCUUUUCUGAACUGACAGCCUCAUUCUUCCAGACACAGUGUUCCUCCUGCAGCUUGUUUGCCUCAUGGUGAUGCAUCCCCCCAGGCCCUCUGUGAGCUCCCAUUCUCAGAUGUCCUGCCCAACUUUUGUGUCUCAUUUUCUAUCUCUGAACCAACUACAGGCACUUAUGGUCUCCCCUGACUUUCUCAAGUCCCCAUGACUCUUCUACUUCUGAGCUCCUCUUUCACACCAUCCCAUUGGGGUGGAGUACUCAUAAGGUGCUCCAAGGUGAUGAUGCAAAAUGCCCAGGCCUGCCCAGGUAACCUCACAGUUUCCUUGUCUGCUCACUCCAUUGCCUUUCCUCCUUUUGAAGGUAAGGCAAGCUGAAAAGCACAGAAAAAGGUAGGAGGACACAACUGCCCUACAGAGUUAAGCUCAGCACAUGUCCUCACAUCCUGAAACACAAUCAAACCAACAGAGUAUUGCCAUGUUCUGGGCUACUCUUUCUCUCAACCUCCUGUUUUGUCAUAAGAAGUGUGACAGUGAGAUAAAAUAUAGUCAAUAAAAGUACCUCUGUAGCAAAGAUUCAGCACUUAGACCAUAAGACAAAAUGCUCUGCAGUUUCUCUCUUGGUGGAAUGCUUUAACAAAUACUGUUUUUUAAAAUUCUUUUGAAAAUGACUCAUUUGGUCUCUACACUCUAAAAUGAAAUUAUUGGGACUGCAGUCAUUUUCUUAUUCCCAUAAUAUAAAGAGGAAGUAGAGCUGUAGGUAUCCAUCAACAUUCCAGACGACCCUCGAUACCGUUGCUUCCUCUUGCAUAAAUUUCAAAAAAAGAGAAGUUUUCUGGUUACGUGAGAAAUUUAAUAGUUUAAAUUUUAUUUGUUGAACAGUCUGGAUUUCUAACCAUCCAUGAAAUCCAUUCCUUGCAGAAGGUGAGCACAAAUUUCAUAAUAUAUAGAAGUUUCUGAUAGCUGUCUCCAACUUAUAUAUUUCCAUUUAAAUAAUUUCCCAAACUCCUGUGACACUUUGCCUCAUCACUAUACUCAGUAAAGUUUGUUUUGUUUUCCAAAAGUUAAGAGGACUUAUUCAAUAUUUAUUAUCUGUUACUUAUCAACUUUUUGUCAUGUCAGCUUUUCAGUUUACUUUCCUUGCUUUUUUUUGUCACCUGUGUUAUUUUUCUAUAACCUGUCUCUCAACAAAGAGAUGCUAAAAGAAAAAUGGUAAAGAUAUUGAAAAAACACUGCAGGAAAGAAGGUGUAGUUUUGCAUGAUUCUUUUGUCUCAGCCAGCUUUUUCUAUGCUUAUUUGGGGUAAAGAUUACUGUCCUAUUUAUACCAUCUCACUCAAAUUUGUAAGAUUAUUGUUGCAGCAAAUAUUUCUCAUAUUGAAAAAAGACAGUAUCUAGUUGCAAAUGGUUUUCAUGUCACU
ensembl:lncRNA